UAAGAACGGUAACACUCACCGAUAAGGGUCCGUGGCUUCAUUGUUGAAGUCAGGGAGACCAUGAACCCACUGGAAUGAACCAAUUCUGAACACAGAAGUGCCAAUUCAGAGAGGGUUAGAGCUUCCUUUUCCCUAGGCUCUGGGGAACUGAACGUUUUUGUCUCCCCUGAAAUUCAUAUGUUGAAUCCUAAAUCCCCAGUGUAUAUUUGGAAGUGGGGCUGUGCGAAGGUAAUUAGCUCAUGAGGAUAGAGCCCUUGUGAAUGGAUUAGUGCCCCUGUAAGACGAGAGACACAAGAGAGAUGAUCUUUCUCUAUGUGAGGACACAAUGAGAAGACAGUCAUCUACAAACCAGGAAGAGGGCACUCAGCAGACAGUGGACCUAGCAGCCCUUUGAUCUUAGACUUCCCAGCUGCCAGACCUGUGGGAAACACAUUUUUGUGGUUUAAAUCGCCCAGCGUAUGAUACUGUGUUAUGGCAGUCCAAAGAGACUAAAACACGAGGGGCUGCAAAGGUCUUGGGGUUCAACAGAGCAGCUGGUCAUCAAUCAUUUGCCUUCACUGGUCACUGAACUGUCCGUGGUCUUGGCCAGCAGUCAGGUACGUAACUGCAACUUUUGUGACAUGCGUGUGGCUGAAGAAUGUUGGCGGGGUUGGCAGCCCUGCCCUUGAUGUCCCGCCUCCCUCCGAGACCCUGCAACCGUUUGCCUCUGAGGCCUGUUGCCUGUCAGCAGCAUGGAGGUCUGCACUACUUUAGAGACCCAGGAGCAGCAGAUCAUCCCUGUCAGGACAGAAUCCCUCCUUAUUUCUCUCAACGGUGCUCCCCUUUCUUUCCUCUCCCUCUGAGACCCCUUGCAUCAUCAUUUCGUGAAGGUUAGGCUUUACAAAACUGGGAAUCACUGUUACCACCUUCUUUUCCUGCUCAGCAAAAGUCCCUGAGGUGCUGGAAGAACAUAUUAAACUUCUGGGUCAGAGACAAAGAACUUUACUACUCAGGGCUCUGCAAGCAGCAGAAACAUCAGCAUGUUUGCAUCAGUUCACCUUGCCCCAAGCCCCAUAAGGGUGACACAAUAUGACCCAGAUGGAUGCUACACACACAGAGGGUUGCUUGCUAUAAACAUAAUCCUGAGAAAUGGCUCAGGAAAAAAGGCAUCAGGACGUUGCAUUCUGGCAUACCCAGAAAGACAUAUAGAAGCACUAGAGACCCAUGAAGGACUGACUGUCUCUCCCAACACACCUUGUGGUGGUUUUGUCUUCACAUUGGCUUUCUCCAUUGGCUGCAAAUCAGUAUCCAUGGAGAAGAGGCCUUGCCCUGACGGCAAUCCAGAGAAGUCUUGAGCUUCCCUGUGAUUGGAGCAUACAUGAAUUAAUCACUCAGGCCAAGGAAAUCUCCUUGAUUUUGGCUCAGGUUUUGUACCUAUCUCUGUGUUAAGGAGGAAUAAUUACUCUGAUUGCCUUAGAUCAACACUGCUGGGGUGGGAGGAUCAAUUCUACCUAAACCAAUAGCUACUAACCAAUGGGAAAUAGAAUGUUAGGGAGGUGGCCACUACCUAUUCCACACGGUCUCUAAGGUGUAUAAUUGAGGAAUUUUGGUCUAUUUCAAAUGUUCCAAGUCUAAUAAAGUAAACAAAAAAAUAAAUUAGAACUCUUUGUCUCUCUUUUCUAUGUCUUUAUUCUGGGAACUCUUAUUUAUUUUUUUUACUCAUAUUAAUUGGG
rnacentral:lncRNA from 1 species